AGCAGCAGCCGCGGUAAUACGAAGGGUGCAAGCGUUACUCGGAAUUACUGGGCGUAAAGCGUGCGUAGGUGGUUGUUUAAGUCUGCUGUGAAAGCCCUGGGCUCAACCUGGGAAUUGCAGUGGAUACUGGGCAACUAGAGUAAGGUAGAGGAUAGUGGAAUUUCCGGUGUAGCAGUGAAAUGCGUAGAGAUCGGAAGGAACAUCUGUGACGAAGGCGACUAUCUGGGCCAUUACUGACACUGAGGCACGAAAGCGUGGGGAGCAAACAGGAUUAGAUACCCGAGUAGUCCCUGUCUCUUAUAC
rnacentral:rRNA from 1 species